rnacentral:lncRNA from 10 species
CUAGUCAUGCUCCGUCCCGGCGCGCAGCUGCUGCGGGGCCUCCUGCUGCGGAGCUGCCCGCUGCAGGGCUCCCCCGGGCGCCCGCGCUCUGUCUGCGGCCGGGAAGGGUUUAACAACUUACUUUCAUCCUGGAAUAAACUUGAAGAAAAUACAUUAUGAUAGCAUCAAACUUUAUGAGAAACUGGAAGAAGAAACUGGUCAGGUGGUGGGAUUCCAUCAGCCAGGUAGUAUCAGACUUGCUACCACCCCUGUAAGGGUAGAUGAAUUUAAAUAUCAAAUGACUCGGACUGGCUGGCAUGCAACAGAACAGUAUCUCAUUGAACCUGAAAAAAUUCAAGAGAUGUUCCCUUUACUCAACAUGAAUAAGGUUUUAGCUGGAUUGUAUAAUCCUGGAGAUGGUCACAUUGAUCCUUAUUCUCUAACUAUGGCACUGGCUGCUGGGGCUAGGAAAUGUGGUGCCCUUUUAAAAUAUCCUGCACCAGUAACUUCUCUGAAAGCCAGGUCAGAUGGAACAUGGGACGUUGAAACACCACAGGGGUCUAUGAGAGCAAAUAGAAUUGUGAAUGCUGCAG